AGAGUUUGAUCUGGCUCAGGAUGAACGCUGGCGGCGUGCCUAAUACAUGCAAGUCGAACGCUUCACUUCGGUGAAGAGUGGCGAACGGGUGAGUAAUACAUAAGUAACCUGGCAUCUACAGGGGGAUAACUGAUGGAAACGUCAGCUAAGACCGCAUAGGUGUAGAGAUCGCAUGAACUCUAUAUGAAAAGUGCUACGGGACUGGUAGAUGAUGGACUUAUGGCGCAUUAGCUUGUUGGUAGGGUAACGGCCUACCAAGGCGACGAUGCGUAGCCGACCUGAGAGGGUGACCGGCCACACUGGGACUGAGACACGGCCCAGACUCCUACGGGAGGCAGCAGUAGGGAAUUUUCGGCAAUGGGGGAAACCCUGACCGAGCAACGCCGCGUGAAGGAAGAAGUAAUUCGUUAUGUAAACUUCUGUCAUAGAGGAAGAACGGUGGAUAUAGGGAAUGAUAUCCAAGUGACGGUACUCUAUAAGAAAGCCACGGCUAACUACGUGCCAGCAGCCGCGGUAAUACGUAGGUGGCGAGCGUUAUCCGGAAUUAUUGGGCGUAAAGAGGGAGCAGGCGGCACUAAGGGGCUGUGGUGAAAGAUCGAAGCUUAACUUCGGUAAGCCAUGGAAACCGUAGAGCUAGAGUGUGUGAGAGGAUCGUGGAACUCCAUGUGUAGCGGUG
rnacentral:rRNA from 1 species